UUGACCUCGGAUCAGGUAGGAAUACCCGCUGAACUUAAGCAUAUCAAUAAGCGGAGGAAAAGAAACCAACAGGGAUUGCCCUAGUAACGGCGAGUGAAGCGGCAACAGCUCAAAUUUGAAAUCUGGCUCUCGGGCCCGAGUUGUAAUUUGUAGAGGAUACUUUUGAUGCGGUGCCUUCCGAGUUCCCUGGAACGGGACGCCAUAGAGGGUGAGAGCCCCGUCUGGUUGGAUGCCAAAUCUCUGUAAAGUUCCUUCGACGAGUCGAGUAGUUUGGGAAUGCUGCUCUAAAUGGGAGGUAUAUGUCUUCUAAAGCUAAAUACCGGCCAGAGACCGAUAGCGCACAAGUAGAGUGAUCGAAAGAUGAAAAGCACUUUGAAAAGAGAGUUAAAAAGUACGUGAAAUUGUUGAAAGGGAAGCGUUUAUGACCAGACUUGGGCUUGGUUAAUCAUCUGGGGUUCUCCCCAGUGCACUUUUCCAGUCCAGGCCAGCAUCAGUUUUCCCCGGGGGAUAAAGACUUCGGGAAUGUGGCUCUCUUCGGGGAGUGUUAUAGCCCGUUGUGUAAUACCCUGGGGGGGACUGAGGUUCGCGCAUCUGCAAG
rnacentral:rRNA from 1 species